GCUCGGGUGGCGGAAUUGGCAGACGCGCAGGAUUCAGGAUCCUGUGGGGGCAACCCCGUGAGGGUUCGAGUCCCUCCUCGAGCA
rnacentral:tRNA from 1 species